rnacentral:rRNA from 1 species
AUGGAUCCGAACAUGGCCGGGCACACCGGGGACAGCCCGUUCCUGCUCUCGCCGUCCACGGGGCGCGCCAUGACCCCCUCCGCGUCCUACGACGGGAAGCCGGCGGCGGCGGAGGCGGGGGACGCCGGGGCGGAGUUCGUGCUGGAGUCCAAGGGCACGUGGUGGCACGCGGGGUUCCACCUCACCACGGCCAUGGUGGGCCCCACGGUGCUCACGCUGCCGUACGCGCUCCGGGGCAUGGGCUGGGCGCUCGGGCUGUCGGCGCUCACCGCCGUCGCCGCCGUCACCUUCUACACCUACUACCUCAUGUCCCGCGUGCUCGACCGCUGCGAGGCCGCCGGCCGCCGCCACAUCCGCUUCCGCGAGCUCGCCGCCGACGUCCUCGGGUCCGGGUGGGUGUUCUACGCGGUGGUCACCGUGCAGACCGCCAUCAACGCCGGCAUCACCAUCGGCAGCAUCCUCAUCGCCGGCAACUGCCUCCAGAUUAUGUACGAGAGCUUGGCGCCGAAUGGUACCCUGAAGCUGUACCACUUCAUCAUCAUCGUCGCCGUCGUGUUGUCUCUCUUCUCGCAGAUGCCGUCAUUCCACUCGCUGCGGUAUAUCAACCUCGGGUCCCUGGUCCUAGCCUUCGGCUACACCAUCCUCGUCUCCGGCGCGUGCAUUCGGGCAGGUAUGAUGAGCAAUGCUCCGGUGAAAGAUUACUCGCUGAGCCCAUCAAAGUCCGGGAAGAUGUAUGACGCCUUCCUCUCCAUCUCCAUCCUCGCCACCGUGUUCGGCAACGGCAUCCUGCCCGAGAUCCAAGCCACCCUGGCGCCGCCGGCGGCAGGGAAGAUGGUGAAGGCGCUGGUGCUGUGCUACACUGUGGUCUUCUUCACCUUCUACCUAUCGGCCAUCUCCGGCUACUGGGCCUUCGGCAACAAGGUGCAGUCCAACGCGCUGCAGAGCCUGAUGCCGGACUCGGGGCCCUCUCUGGCACCGACAUGGCUCCUCGGCCUUGCCGUCGUGCUCGUCCUCCUCCAGCUCCUGGCCAUUGCGCUGGUGUACUCGCAAGUGGCCUACGAGAUCAUGGAGAAAGGGUCGGCCGACGCGGGCCACGGGAGAUUCUCAUGGCGGAACCUGGCGCCGCGGGUGGCGCUGCGGACCUUGUACGUUGCGGCGUGCGCAUUUGUGGCGGCGGCGCUGCCGUUCUUCGGUGACAUCGUGGGCGUGGUCGGCGCCUUGGGGUUCAUCCCGCUCGACUUCGUGCUCCCCGUCGUCAUGUACAACAUUGCGUUGGCCCCGCCUAAGAGGUCGGCGGUGUAUGUAAUCAACGUGGCGAUCAUGGCCUUGUUCACCGGUGUUGGGAUCAUUGGCGCCAUUGCGUCCGUGCGGAAGCUUGUGCUCGACGCCGGACAGUUCCAGCUGUUCAGUGACCAUGUCAUCAGCUGA